GUUGAAAGUUAACGGGCUCCACCCAAGGCGACGACGGUAUCGGUUCUGAGGAGGGAUGAUCGUCGAGGUGGGACUGAGACACGGCCCACACCUACGGGUGGCAGCAGUUGGGAAUCUGCACAAUGGGGGCUCCUGAUGCAGCGACGCGCGUGGAGGAUGAAGGAUCUAGGUCUGUAAACUCCUUUUAUCGGGAAAGACUUAGGACGGUACCCGAUGAAUAAGGACCGGCUAACUACGUGCCAGCAGCCGCGGUAAGACGUAGGGUCCCAAGCGUUGUCCGGGAUUUACUGGGCGUAAAGAGCGCGUAGGCGGUCUGUUAAGUGUGAAGUGAAAUCUCCAGGGCUCAACCCGGAAACCGCUUCGCAUACUGGCAGACUGGAGGGAUGCAGAGGUGAGUGGAAUUCCUGGUGUACCGGUGAAAUGGGUAGAUAUCAGGAGGAACACCCAUGGCGAAGGCAGCUCACUGGGCAUCUCCUGACGCUGAGGCGCGAAAGUGUGGGUAGCAGACAGGAUUAGAUACCCUGGUAGUCCACACCCUAAACGAUGGAUACUAGGCGUAAGGGGUAUCGACCCCCCUUGUGCCGCAGCUAACGCACUAAGUAUCCCGCCUGGGGAGUACGGCCGCAAGGUUGAAACUCAAAUGAAUUGACGGGGACCCGCACAAGCGGUGGAGCAUGUGGAUUAAUUCGAUACUAACCGAAGAACCUUACCCAGGUUUGACAUCGAUCGAAAGCUCUAGAGAUAGGGCCUUCCUCCCAAAAGGAGGACGUGAAGACACUUGUUGCAUGGCUGUCGUCAGCUCGUGCCGUGAGGUGUACGGUUAAGUCCGCCAACGAGCGCAACCCUCGUCCUGUGUUACCAGCAUGAAAGAUGGGAACUCACAGGAGACCGCCGGUGUAAGCCGGAGGAAGGUGAGGAUGACGUCAAGUCAGCAUGGCAGUUACGCCUGGGGCUUCACACAUGCUACAAUGGGCGAAACAAAGGGCAGCGAUACCGCGAGGUGGAGCCAAUCCCAAAAAUACGUCCCCAGUUCAGAUUGCAGUCUGCAACUCGACUGCAUGAAGGCGGAAUCGCUAGUAAACGCAGGUCAGCUAUACUGCGUUGAAUACGUUCCCGGGUCUUGUACACACCGCCCGU
rnacentral:rRNA from 1 species